GUUAUCACGGGAGACACACGGCGGGUGCUAACGUCCGUCGUGAAGAGGGAAACAACCCAGACCGCCAGCUAAGGUCCCAAAGUCAUGGUUAAGUGGGAAACGAUGUGGGAAGGCCCAGACAGCCAGGAUGUUGGCUUAGAAGCAGCCAUCAUUUAAAGAAAGCGUAAUAGCUCACUGGUCGAGUCGGCCUGCGCGGAAGAUGUAACGGGGCUAAACCAUGCACCGAAGCUGCGGCAGCGACACUAUGUGUUGUUGGGUAGGGGAGCGUUCUGUAAGCCUGUGAAGGUGGCCUGUGAGGGUUGCUGGAGGUAUCAGAAGUGCGAAUGCUGACAUAAGUAACGAUAAAGCGGGUGAAAAGCCCGCUCGCCGGAAGACCAAGGGUUCCUGUCCAACGUUAAUCGGGGCAGGGUGAGUCGACCCCUAAGGCGAGGCCGAAAGGCGUAGUCGAUGGGAAACAGGUUAAUAUUCCUGUACUUGGUGUUACUGCGAAGGGGGGACGGAGAAGGCUAUGUUGGCCGGGCGACGGUUGUCCCGGUUUAAGCGUGUAGGCUGGUUUUCCAGGCAAAUCCGGAAAACCAAGGCUGAGGCGUGAUGACGAGGCACUACGGUGCUGAAGCGACAAAUGCCCUGCUUCCAGGAAAAGCCUCUAAGCAUCAGGUAACAUCAAAUCGUACCCCAAACCGACACAGGUGGUCAGGUAGAGAAUACCAAGGCGCUUGAGAGAACUCGGGUGAAGGAACUAGGCAAAAUGGUGCCGUAACUUCGGGAGAAGGCACGCUGAUAUGUAGGUGAAGCGACUUGCUCGUGGAGCUGAAAUCAGUCGAAGAUACCAGCUGGCUGCAACUGUUUAUUAAAAACACAGCACUGUGCAAACACGAAAGUGGACGUAUACGGUGUGACGCCUGCCCGGUGCCGGAAGGUUAAUUGAUGGGGUUAGCGGCAACGCGAAGCUCUUGAUCGAAGCCCCGGUAAACGGCGGCCGUAACUAUAACGGUCCUAAGGUAGCGAAAUUCCUUGUCGGGUAAGUUCCGACCUGCACGAAUGGCGUAAUGAUGGCCAGGCUGUCUCCACCCGAGACUCAGUGAAAUUGAACUCGCUGUGAAGAUGCAGUGUACCCGCGGCAAGACGGAAAGACCCCGUGAACCUUUACUAUAGCUUGACACUGAACAUUGAGCCUUGAUGUGUAGGAUAGGUGGGAGGCUUUGAAGUGUGGACGCCAGUCUGCAUGGAGCCGACCUUGAAAUACCACCCUUUAAUGUUUGAUGUUCUAACGUUGGCCCGUAAUCCGGGUUGCGGACAGUGUCUGGUGGGUAGUUUGACUGGGGCGGUCUCCUCCUAAAGAGUAACGGAGGAGCACGAAGGUUGGCUAAUCCUGGUCGGACAUCAGGAGGUUAGUGCAAUGGCAUAAGCCAGCUUGACUGCGAGCGUGACGGCGCGAGCAGGUGCGAAAGCAGGUCAUAGUGAUCCGGUGGUUCUGAAUGGAAGGGCCAUCGCUCAACGGAUAAAAGGUACUCCGGGGAUAACAGGCUGAUACCGCCCAAGAGUUCAUAUCGACGGCGGUGUUUGGCACCUCGAUGUCGGCUCAUCACAUCCUGGGGCUGAAGUAGGUCCCAAGGGUAUGGCUGUUCGCCAUUUAAAGUGGUACGCGAGCUGGGUUUAGAACGUCGUGAGACAGUUCGGUCCCUAUCUGCCGUGGGCGCUGGAGAACUGAGGGGGGCUGCUCCUAGUACGAGAGGACCGGAGUGGACGCAUCACUGGUGUUCGGGUUGUCAUGCCAAUGGCACUGCCCGGUAGCUAAAUGCGGAAGAGAUAAGUGCUGAAAGCAUCUAAGCACGAAACUUGCCCCGAGAUGAGUUCUCCCUGACUCCUUGAGAGUCCUGAAGGAACGUUGAAGACGACGACGUUGAUAGGCCGGGUGUGUAAGCGCAGCGAUGCGUUGAGCUAACCGGUACUAAUGAACCGUGAGGCUUAACCUU
rnacentral:rRNA from 1 species